rnacentral:rRNA from 1 species
UACGUAGGUCCCGAGCGUUGUCCGGAUUCAUUGGGCGUAAAGAGCUCGUAGGCGGCUUGGCAAGUCGGAUGUGAAAACUCCAGGCUCAACCUGGAGCCGCCAUUCGAUACUGCUAUGGCUAGAGUCCGGUAGGGGAGUGUGGAAUUCCCGGUGUAGCGGUGAAAUGCGCAGAUAUCGGGAGGAACACCGAUGGCGAAGGCAGCACUCUGGGCCGGUACUGACGCUGAGGAGCGAAAGCGUGGGGAGCGAACAGG